AUUGAACGCUGGCGGCAGGCCUAACACAUGCAAGUCGAGCGAGCGGCGGACGGGUGAGUAAUGUAGGGGGUUAUGCCCGAUAGAGGGGGCUAACUACUGGAAACGGUGGUUAAUACCGCAUACUAUCGGAUGAAUCAAUAUUGGAUUAGCUAGUGGGUAGGGUAAAGGCACACCUAGGCGACGAUCUCUAGCUGGUCUGAGAGGAUGAUCAGCCACACUGGGACUGAGACACGGCCCAGACUCCUACGGGAGGCAGCAGUGGGGAAUAUUGCACAAUGGGCGCAAGCCUGAUGCAGCCAUGCCGCGUGUAUGAAGAAGGCCUUAGGGUUGUAAAGUACUUUCAGCGGGGAGGCGUUACCCGCAGAAGAAGCACCGGCUAACUCCGUGCCAGCAGCCGCGGUAAUAC
rnacentral:rRNA from 1 species